AAUGAACGCUGGCGGCAGGCCUAACACAUGCAAGUCGAACGGAUCCUUCGGGAUUAGUGGCGGACGGGUGAGUAACGCGUGGGAACAUACCCAAAGGUACGGAAUAGCCUCGGGAAACUGGGAGUAAUACCGUAUGUGCUCGAAAGAGGAAGAUUUAUCGCCUUUGGAUUGGCCCGCGUUGGAUUAGGUAGUUGGUGGGGUAAUGGCCUACCAAGCCGACGAUCCAUAGCUGGUUUGAGAGGAUGAUCAGCCACACUGGGACUGAGACACGGCCCAGACUCCUACGGGAGGCAGCAGUGGGGAAUCUUAGACAAUGGGCGCAAGCCUGAUCUAGCCAUGCCGCGUGAGCGAUGAAGGCCUUAGGGUUGUAAAGCUCUUUCAGGGGGGAAGAUAAUGACUGUACCCCCAGAAGAAGCCCCGGCUAACUCCGUG
rnacentral:rRNA from 1 species